GUUACGGACAUUUUCAGGUUUUAUCUGCAAGGUCGACUACUCAUGGUCUUUAUAAUAACUUGUUUGUAACCUAAAA